rnacentral:rRNA from 1 species
UACGGAGGGAGCUAGCGUUGUUCGGAAUUACUGGGCGUAAAGCGCGCGUAGGCGGCUUUGUAAGUUAGAGGUGAAAGCCCGGGGCUCAACCCCGGAAUUGCCUUUAAGACUGCAUCGCUAGAAUCCAGGAGAGGUGAGUGGAAUUCCGAGUGUAGAGGUGAAAUUCGUGGAUAUUCGGAAGAACACCAGUGGCGAAGGCGGCUCACUGGACUGGUAUUGACGCUGAGGUGCGAAAGCGUGGGGAGCAAACAGG